GAUGAACGCUGGCGGCGUGCCUAAUACAUGCAAGUCGAGCGAACAGACGAGGAGCUUGCUCCUCUGACGUUAGCGGCGGACGGGUGAGUAACACGUGGAUAACCUACCUAUAAGACUGGGAUAACUUCGGGAAACCGGAGCUAAUACCGGAUCAUAUAUUGAACCGCAUGGUUCAAUAGUGAAAGACGGUUUUGCUGUCACUUAUAGAUGGAUCCGCGCCGCAUUAGCUAGUUGGUAAGGUAACGGCUUACCAAGGCAACGAUGCGUAGCCGACCUGAGAGGGUGAUCGGCCACACUGGAACUGAGACACGGUCCAGACUCCUACGGGAGGCAGCAGUAGGGAAUCUUCCGCAAUGGGCGAAGGCCUGACGGAGCAACGCCGCGUGAGUGAUGAAGGUCUUCGGAUCGUAAAACUCUGUUAUUAGGGAAGAACAAAUGUGUAAGUAACUAUGCACGUCUUGACGGUACCUAAUCAGAAAGCCACGGCUAACUACGUG
rnacentral:rRNA from 1 species